AUACGGAAGGUCCGGGCGUUAUCCGGAUUUAUUGGGUUUAAAGGGAGCGCAGGCGGAGAUGCAAGCGUGACGUCAAAUUUCGGGGCUCAACCCCGUCUCGCGUCGCGAACUGCGUCCCUUGGUUGCGGGAAGGGGAGGCGGAACUCGUGGUGUAGCGGUGAAAUGCAUAGAUAUCACGAAGAACUCCGAUCGCGAAGGCAGCCUUCCGGCCCGUCAACGACGCUCAUGCUCGAAGGUGCAGGUAUCAAACAGGAUUAGAUACCCUGGUAGUCCGCACAGUAAACGAUGGACACCCGCGGUUUGGCCUGUAUGGCUGAGCCGCCAAGCGAAAGCGUUAAGUGUCCCACCUGGGGAGUACGCCGGCAACGGUGAAACUCAAAUGAAUUGACGGGG
rnacentral:rRNA from 1 species